GACGAACGCUGGCGGCGUGCCUAAUACAUGCAAGUCGAACGAAUCAAUAGGAGCUUGCUCCUGUUGGUUAGCGGCGGACGGGUGAGUAACACGUGGGCAACCUGCCUGUAAGACUGGGAUAACUUCGGGAAACCGGAGCUAAUACCGGAUAAUCCUUUUCCACUCAUGUGGAAAAGCUGAAAGUCGGUUUCGGCUGACACUUACAGAUGGGCCCGCGGCGCAUUAGCUAGUUGGUGAGGUAACGGCUCACCAAGGCGACGAUGCGUAGCCGACCUGAGAGGGUGAUCGGCCACACUGGGACUGAGACACGGCCCAGACUCCUACGGGAGGCAGAAGUAGGGAAUCUUCCGCAAUGGACGAAAGUCUGACGGAGCAACGCCGCGUGAGCGAUGAAGGCCUUCGGGUCGUAAAGCUCUGUUGUUAGGGAGGAACAAGUAUCGGAGUAACUGCCGGUACCUUGACGGUACCUAACCAGAAAGCCACGGCUAACUACGUGCCAGCAGCCGCCGUAA
rnacentral:rRNA from 1 species